GUACCUAAUGGAUAAUCAGAUAACAAGGAUAGACAACGAGACUUUUGCGGGGCUAUCACAGCUGAGAACACUGGCCUUAGAUGGUAAUCAGAUAUCAAGGAUCGACAACAACACCUUUAAAGGGCUACCACAGUUGGAGACUCUAUUCAGCGUCAUUUUGGCAAAGUUCAAACUGAACACUGACUAAUCUCACAAUUUAUAUUUUCAUUCAGAAAAUAAAUGAACGCAGCAAAUUUCACUAAACUGAUGUUUGAAUGUUUUUAUCUGUUAAC